AUUGGGAGUUGGGUUUUGUCUGGAGGAAGCAGCUUCUAGGAACUGCCUUUAUAAUGAGUACCGUAUGGAGCCACAGAUACUGUUUCCUUAGUAAAUAUCAAAUACUGCAGUUCAUGUUGGAGCUACUACCUCAGAUUUCAUCUCGUACAGACAAGCUGUGUCACCUUGGGCAGAUGCAGUUCCUGUGAACUCCUGAAUGGGAUCCUGUGAUGUCACAAGAGAUCUUUCUUUCAGAUCAGAAGACUCCAACUCUGUAAGCCAGAAGGAACAAAGAAGCUAAAAAUUCAUAGCCCAUGUGUCCAGGAGGAAGCCAUCUUGGCAGGAAUGACAUCACCAAUGGUAUGAGGAAAGCUACUCUUUACAUUGGUGUUACUACAUUUUAUUACAGAUUGUGUUAAGUUUUAGGCAUUGGAAGAGUUUCCAGUUCCUUGGAUCUAUGAGCCUCCAGUGAAAUGCUACAUUUUUCAAGACUUCUUUGUUGUUCCUUAUUGUCCCCACUCUCCCUUAUAAAGUGCAGAUAUGUAGCCUAAUAAAGAUACAAUAGACACUA
rnacentral:lncRNA from 1 species